UACGUAGGGGGCAAGCGUUGUCCGGAUUUAUUGGGCGUAAAGAGCGUGUAGGCGGCCUGGUAGGUCAGCUGUGAAAACUCGAGGCUCAACCUCGGGACGCCGGUUGAAACCAUCAGGCUAGAGUCCGGAAGAGGAGAGUGGAAUUCCCGGUGUAGCGGUGAAAUGCGCAGAUAUCGGGAAGAACACCCGUGGCUAAGGCGGCUCUCUAGUACGGUACUGACGCUGAGACGCGAAAGCGUGGGGAGCGAACAGG
rnacentral:rRNA from 1 species